CGUUCUGUAAGCCUGUGAAGGUGUGUCGUGAGGCAUGCUGGAGGUAUCAGAAGUGCGAAUGCUGACAUAAGUAACGAUAAAGCGGGUGAAAAGCCCGCUCGCCGGAAGACCAAGGGUUCCUGUCCAACGUUAAUCGGGGCAGGGUGAGUCGACCCCUAAGGCGAGGCCGAAAGGCGUAGUCGAUGGGAAACGGGUUAAUAUUCCCGUACUUGGUGUUACUGCGAAGGGGGGACGGAGAAGGCUAUGUUGGCCGGGCGACGGUUGUCCCGGUUUAAGCGUGUAGGUGUGUGUUCCAGGUAAAUCCGGUUCACUUUAACACUGAGGC
rnacentral:rRNA from 1 species